rnacentral:rRNA from 1 species
AAUCAACGCUGGCGGCGUGCCUAACACAUGCAAGUCGAACGCGAAAGGGGAGCAAUCCCUGAGUAGAGUGGCAAACGGGUGAGUAACACGUGGGUGACCUGCCUUCGAGUGGGGGAUAACGUCCCGAAAGGGACGCUAAUACCGCAUGACAUCCUGCUCUUGGAAGAGCGGAGAUCAAAGCUGGGGAUCGCAAGACCUGGCGCUUGAAGAGGGGCCCGCGCCUGAUUAGCUAGUUGGUAGGGUAAUGGCCUACCAAGGCAACGAUCAGUAUCCGGCCUGAGAGGGCGGACGGACACACUGGGACUGAGACACGGCCCAGACUCCUACGGGAGGCAGCAGUGGGAAUUGUUCGCAAUGGGCGCAAGCCUGACGACGCAACGCCGCGUGGAGGACGAAGAUCUUC